UGGGGAAUAUUGGACAUUGGGCGCAAGCCUGAUCCAGCAAUGCCGCGUGUGUGAAGAAGGCCUGCGGGUUGUAAAGCACUUUCAGUAGAGAAGAAAAGCUUAGGGUUAAUACCCCUUGAGUCUUGACGUUACCUACAGAAGAAGCACCGGCUAACUCCGUGCCAGCAGCCGCGGUAAUACGGAGGGGGCUAGCGUUGUUCGGAAUUACUGGGCGUAAAGCGCGCGUAGGCGGGCCGGUCAGUUGGGGGAGAAAUCCCGAGGCUUAAGCUCGGAACUGCCCUAAAAACUACCAGCCUUGAGUCCGGGAGAGGUGAGUGGAAUUCCUAGUGUAGAGGUGAAAUUCGUAGAUAUUAGGAAGAACACCAGUGGCGAAGGCGGCUCACUGGCCCGGUACUGACGCUGAGGCGCGAAAGCGUGGGGAGCAAACAGGAUUAGAUACCCCCGUAGUCC
rnacentral:rRNA from 1 species